GCCGCCGUAGCUCAGUGGUAGAGCACUCCCUUGGUAAGGGAGAGGUCGUGUGUUCAAUCCACACCGGCGGCACCA
rnacentral:tRNA from 1 species